rnacentral:rRNA from 1 species
GGUUUGUAGCAAUACAGAUGCUGGCGACCGGCAAACGGGUGCGGAACACGUACACAACCUUCCUUUAAGUGGGGAAUAGCCCAGGGAAACUUGGAUUAAUACCCCGUAAUAUUAUGAAAUGGCAUCAUUUUAUAAUUAUAGCUACGGCGCUUAAUGAUGGGUGUGCGGCUGAUUAGGUAGUUGGCGGGGUAACGGCCCACCAAGCCUGCGAUCAGUAACUGGUGUGAGAGCACGACCAGUCACACGGGCACUGAGACACGGGCCCGACUCCUACGGGAGGCAGCAGUAAGGAAUAUUGGUCAAUGGACGCAAGUCUGAACCAGCCAUGCCGCGUGGAGGAUGAAGGUCCUCUGGAUUGUAAACUUCUUUUAUCUGGGACGAAAAAGGGUCUUUCUAGAUCAACUGACGGUACCAGAUGAAUAAGCACCGGCUAACUCCGUGCCAGCAGCCGCGGUAAUACGGAGGGUGCAAGCGUUAUCCGGAUUCACUGGGUUUAAAGGGUGCGUAGGUGGGUCUGUAAGUCCGUGGUGAAAUCUCCGAGCUUAACUUGGAAACUGCCAUGGAUACUAUAGAUCUUGAAUACUGUGGAGGUCAGCGGAAUAUGUCAUGUAGCGGUGAAAUGCUUAGAUAUGACAUAGAACACCAAUUGCGAAGGCAGCUGGCUACACAAAUAUUGACACUGAGGCACGAAAGCGUGGGGAUCAAACAGGAUUAGAUACCCUGGUAGUCCACGCCCUAAACGAUGGAUACUCGACAUUUGCGAUACACUGCAAGUGUCUGAGCGAAAGCAUUAAGUAUCCCACCUGGGAAGUACGAUCGCAAGAUUGAAACUC